rnacentral:rRNA from 1 species
CUGGGAUCCUCUUCGGAGGCGUGCACACAGGUGCUGCAUGGCUGUCGUCAGCUCGUGUCGUGAGAUGUUGGGUUAAGUCCCGCAACGAGCGCAACCCACGUCCUUAGUUGCCAUCAUUCAGUUGGGCACUCUAGGGAGACUGCCGGUGAUAAGCCGCGAGGAAGGUGUGGAUGACGUCAAGUCCUCAUGGCCCUUACGGGAUGGGCUACACACGUGCUACAAUGGCGGUGACAGUGGGACGCAAAGCCGCGAGGUGGAGCAAAUCCCCAAAAACCGUCUCAGUUCGGAUUGCACUCUGCAACUUUGGGUGCAAAAAGGCGG